AGGUGGUGCGGUCGGGAUUGGACCAUUGUCAAGAUAAGAACAACCCACAGGUGGAGCAGGUGGUGCGGUCGGGAUUGGACCAUCGUCAAGAAAAGAACAACCCACAGGUGGAGCAGGGAUGUCACAUCAACGAGAUGCCUACGAAGCCCGAUACACGGGAACCUACUCUUGCAAGGAAUUAUGUAGUUGCAUCCUAA